rnacentral:rRNA from 1 species
AACCAACAGGGAUUGCCCCAGUAGCGGCGAGUGAAGCGGCAAAAGCUCAGAUUUGGAAUCGCUUCGGCGAGUUGUGAAUUGCAGGUUGGCGCCUCUGCGGCGGCGGCGGUCCAAGUCCCUUGGAACAGGGCGCCAUUGAGGGUGAGAGCCCCGUGGGACCGUUUGCCUACGCUCUGAGGCCCUUCUGACGAGUCGAGUUGUUUGGGAAUGCAGCUCUAAGCGGGUGGUAAAUUCCAUCUAAGGCUAAAUACUGGCGAGAGACCGAUAGCGAACAAGUACUGUGAAGGAAAGAUGAAAAGCACUUUGAAAAGAGAGUGAAACAGCACGUGAAAUUGUUGAAAGGGAAGGGUAUUGCGCCCGACAUGGAGCGUGCGCACCGCUGCCCCUCGUGGGCGGCGCUCUGGGCGUGCUCUGGGCCAGCAUCGGUUUUUGCCGCGGGAGAAGGGCGGCGGGCAUGUAGCUCUUCGGAGUGUUAUAGCCUGCCGCCGGCGCCGCGAGCGGGGACCGAGGACUGCGACUUUUGUCUCGGAUGCUGGCACAACGGCGCAACACCGCCCGUCUUGAAACAC